GAUUUUUUAAACAGAAAACGGCAACCCGACGUUCGUACGAGGUUAUCGGAAGAGUUGGCAGCCUUUGCUCCCGAUAUUGGUAGACCUGAGCACAUAUAAACAAAUCCACGUGCUACCUUUACUUCGCCCACAGCUUCGCCGCUAUCAUGAGUGUGCCUGCCUCUUCUGUUCUCCUCCUCUCUCCACGAGAAAAAGCUGUCGCACUCACAAAUGCUCAACGCCAGAGACUGUCUGAGGUGAUAACUUCAAAGAAAAUCCUGUUGGAUCAUUCUACAGACUUCAACGGGAUAAGAAAAAAAACAGAAAGCUUGGGAGGAAGUAGCUGCUGAAUUCAACCUCAGCUACCCUGCUGAACGUCCCAGGACAGUAACCCAGCUCAAACGGGCUUGGGAGUACAUACGAGUGAAGAAGAAUCACAAGAAAUUUCUUCAUGAGUCCUUCAAGACUGGUGGAGGGCCAUCACCAAAACCAGUCACAGAUGACUUCUUGGCUGUUGCAACAGAUGCACUGGCUGUGGAGCUGCAAUUUGCAGACAACCAGCUAGAUGGCUUAGUACCCAUAGUCAUAAGAGAAGAGGAAGUGGAAAUAAUUGACGACGACAUGCUUCCUGCAUGUACAAUAGCAGCAGGACCAUCGACAACACCAGCAGCAGGACCAGCAACAGCACCAGCAGCAGGACCAGCAACAGCACCAGCAGCAGGACCAGUGACAGCACCACCACCAGGACCAGCAACAGCACCAGCAGCAGGACCAGCAACAGCACCACCACCAGGACCAGCGACAGCACCACCACCAGGACCAGCUUCAGCACCACCAACAGUUACAGCAACAGCACCAGCAAUGGCACCAGCAACACCACCAGCAGGGCCAGCAACAGCACCAGGAGGAACAUCACAAACUGGACCCUCCACCCGUAGA